GGGGGGAGGCCGGAUCCUGGGCUGUGUCCCGGCACCCUGUGCUCCCAGUCUCCCCUGUUGGAUUCGCGCUCCCGGCCGGGCAGCCCCCU
rnacentral:pre_miRNA from 1 species